GCGGAAAUGGCGGAAUUGGUAGACGCACCAGAUUUAGGUUCUGGCGCCGCAAGGUGUGAGAGUUCAAGUCUCUCUUUCCGCA
rfam:Vibrio panuliri strain CAIM 703 CAIM703_2, whole genome shotgun sequence.